AGAGUUGGCAGCUAGGGUUCCGGUUCUCUUCGACGAGAGAAUGUCUGGUCCGAGAGCAGCCGCCAGGGGAGAGCCCUGGUGCACGGCGGGAUAAAAACCCGGGAGAC
rnacentral:sRNA from 2 species